rnacentral:rRNA from 1 species
AUUGAACGCUGGCGGCAGGCCUAACACAUGCAAGUCGCACGAGUGGCGGACGGGUGAGUAAUGUAUGGGAAACUGCCUGAUGGAGGGGGAUAACUACUGUAAACGGUAGCUAAUAACGCAUACAAUCGGCUUGGGCCAGACUGGAUGAGCUAGUAGGUGGGGUAAAGGCUCAACUAGGCGACGAUCCCUAGCUGGACUGAGAGGAUGACCAGCCACACUGGAACUGAGACACGGUCCAGACGCCUACGGGAGGCAGCAGUGGGGAAUAUUGCACAAUGGGCGCAAGCCUGAUGCAGCCAUGCCGCGUGUAUGAAGAAGGCCUUCGGGUUGUAAAGUACUUUCAGCAGGGAGGCGUUACCCGCAGAAGAAGCACCGGCUAACUCCGUGCCAGCAGCCGCGGUAAUUC